rnacentral:rRNA from 1 species
UGGUGGAGUGAUUUGUCUGGUUAAUUCCGAUAACGAACGAGACCUUAACCUGCUAAAUAGUUACGUUUUUCUCUGAAAGACGGCCAACUUCUUAGAGGGACUAUAUAUGUUUAAUGUAUGGAAGUUUGAGGCAAUAACA